UAUCUCGAAAAUAAAAGAUUUAAAGGGUUUAUUUUAGUUUUUGUUUCAAAAAAAUUGGAUAAAAUUCUUUAGGGGUGAGAUACCAAUCGAUUUUAUUAAUAUCUAGUAAUUUCAGAAAUAAAUUUAGUUUAGAAUAUUGGGAGAUUCUUAACUUCAAUAUAUUUUUAGGCUUUAGGGGAUGAGCUCUAAAGGCAAUUUAUAAGAGUAGAAUUUAAGUAGUUCUUUGUUAAGCUUAGAAUUAGCUAUAAGAUAGUGUUUUAAGAUAAGAGUUAAGGCAUAAAAUUUUGUUUUCUUUUAUUUAAAUGAAGUUAUUAAAGAAAUUGAGUUUUUUAGGAAAAAAUGAUAAUAUUAGUAGAGAUUAAUUUAAAUUUUUCUUUAAUUAUUUUUAUAAGAAUUAUAGUAAAAGAAUUCGGCAAAUGGGAUUUCCGAAUGUUUAACAAAAACAUUUCCUCUUAGAAUAUGAGGUAAGGCCUGCUCACUGAGUAGUUGAAGAGCCGCAGUAUAUUGACUGUGCUAAGGUAGCAUAAUCAUUAGUCUUUUAAUUGGGGACUGGUAUGAAUGGCUAAACGAGAGAUCAACUUUUUUUAUUAUACAUGUUGAAUUUAACUUUUUAGUGAAAAGGCUAAAGUUUAUCAGAAAGACGAGAAGACCCUAUAGAGUUUUAUAUACAAAGGAUUAAUGUUUGAAUAGGUUUCUGUGGAUAUGGGUUUGUAGUAUAUUUUGUUGGGGCGACAUUAAGAUAAGAAAAACUCUUUAUUUUUUAAACUUUAAUGGAAGAAUGGGUUGAUCCUCUAUAAGAGAUCAAAAGAAAAAAUUACCUUAGGGAUAACAGCGUAAUCUUUUUUGAGAGUUCUAAUCGACAAAAAGGUUUGCGACCU
rnacentral:rRNA from 1 species